rnacentral:lncRNA from 1 species
GAAAAUAACAUCUUGAUGAGCUGGUUAUAAAUGAACAUGUGGAUUGUGUUUUCCUUAAUAUACCAAUAGUUUAUCGUGGCAGAAAUAAAUGCUAAGAGCAGAAAGGAUCCCCAGUGCUAGAUCCUUGACUUUGAGAGCAAAGGAGCUCAAGACAUUCAGCAAAUUCAAAACAUCCCCUUUACCCACAUUUUAAGAUUAUGUUUGUAUAGUUGUUUCUUAUGACAUUUCAAAGCUUCUUCAUAAUUCUAGGUAUUGAUUUGAAAAUGCCAGUUUUCAAUACUAAAUAAUGGUGGAAUAAAAUUUUCUGUGAAUUAAUUUUUCAGCCACAAGAGGACAAACACUGUAUGGAAAAUGAUUCUACUUUCACCAGGAAGGAAAUGUCAUGGGCCUCCGAAUUGGGAGGGGGAAAAAAAAUCUUGCAGCAGUGCCUAUUGGAAAUUACCAGGAAUAAAUAUCUUUUUUUUCUUGAAAUAAAGUUCAAGGGCUUUUCUGGAGUGAGGGAGCAGACUGAGGGAAGAACCAGAAGGCUGCCAAAAUGUAAGUCAUGGUGGAUAUGAUAGACAAAACGACCGGAGAAUAAGAGGAAAGCUGACAUCAAGGAAAUAUCAAUAUCUGUCGAGAAGAUUAG